GGGGGUGUGGAUCAAUGGUAGAGUGUGUGCUUACCAAGCACAAUGCCCUGGCUUCAAUUUUGGCACUCCCC
rnacentral:tRNA from 1 species